AGAUGUCAGAUAGAUGUGUAAGAGCUCGAUGGUAAGAAGCGCCAAACAAGGCAUAAAUAAACUUACGCACAUUAUUAACAAUUUUAUAGUCAAGUAGAUAAUAUGACGUCGUGUGUAUUUCGCUACUGUAAAAACACUUCUAGAAAUGUCAGCGCAUCAUCAGGGAUCAGUUUUCAUCGAUUUGUUCACCCUGAGCACCCGAAUAGAGAGCAAUGGAUUAAGGUUGUUCGAAAGGAUAGAUCCGAAAACACGUGGCUGCCUUCUAAAGCAUCUCAUGUCUGUUCUUUUCACUUCCAACCUGAUGACAUUUACAGGUCUGAAACUGGAAGAAAUUUCCUUAAAAAGACAGCAAUUCCGAGCAGUAAUCCUACCCAGCCUGUUUCAGAGAGUCGACAGGAUUCCCCCACAUCGUUAGAAGAAGUACAAAUAUCCGACUCUGAUUCAAUUUUUGAUUCAUACGAAAUGAAUAAGCUGAAAAUUAUUAUAAGAAAACUCAACGCUGAAAAAAAUGUGCUCCGUGGAAAACUUUGUAAAAUACAAAACCAAAAUAAAUAUCUCCGUAAAAAAACAAAACGUUUAACUGCAAUGGUCAAAGAAUUAAAAGAAAAAUUGAACCAGGUACACAUAUACAGAACCAGUUAUUAAAAAAGCUGGAGUUAAACCUAUUACAAUACACUAAUAAAAUUGUAUUAUGAAAAUGAAUCAUUAAAUUUAAGACGAAAAUAAUCGAUAUAUAAAACGUGCCGAACAAAUAGUGUACCUUACUGAGAUGAACUGCAGACUAAACGUAGCCCAAAAUAGCAAAUCAGAGCAAUUUUAACACCUACGUCAGGGGGGAAAGCCUGGCCGGGAUGCGGCCCCACGUCCACAUUCUUAAAAACUCUACAUAUGUAUGUUGUUCUGACAUAUAAGCCAUACCUCUCAAAAACAUCGAUAUCCAUUCAUUUCAUCCAAUAACAAACAUGCAUCACACUGGAAGUGCAUUGCAAGUCUAAGAUUUUCCUAAUAAUUAUUUUUAAGAAAAAAAAAACUUUGUAAUUAAUAUUAAAAAAUCCUUAAAAAUAAA